rnacentral:misc_RNA from 1 species
AUUACUUGGAGGACAAGAUCGCCGACGACGCAGCGGAGAGGGUUGAGGAUGACCUUGGCUACGGCGAUGAAGAUUUUUAGAAGCAACUCGGUGCGGAUGCGGGUCGGUUCAAGCCAUUUGCUUUCAGGAUUUCGGGUUGUUUGUUUGGGCCGAAUGGGCCAUGGGCUCAUAUAUGUGUGUUUAGGCCCACGUAUUUUUGGUCUGGAAUAAUUUUCAAAAUCACAAAAAUAUGUAUUUAUUUUUAAUAAUAACUGCUAUUAACUUUACAUGAAACAUAUG